AAUCCAUCUGUGCCGCCCAGUUGAUCACAGAGGACGAGGGCUUGGGUCGGCUGGCCCACACGGUGCAGGUCUUGGUGGUCCUCGCACGGACUGCUGCCAGCCACCGCCUCGCUAGCAGACCGGAGCUGCUAGGGGCGGACAGGCUAAGCACAGCUCCUUCCUUCUCUUAGCUCCAUGUCGUCCACUGAUUUUGCUGUCAUCCAAAGGUCCAAAAUGGUACCCAAAAAAAUCAAUGAAACACUUAGUUUGUAAUCAUUGUAAAAACAGGCGUUUAGUUCGAUUUUUUUUGGUUUUCAAGCAGGCCUAUAUAAAUUAUGCACAUUGCAAGUGUAAGUCGAACAACUUGUUUUAAAGUUGAUUCAUAUUUAUUUUUUUAUAGGAUUUUUAAUUUUAAACAUUUUUUUACUCGUCAAACAUCUAAUUAUCAGGCAAUUGUUCAUACGGCGUUAUCAUUAUCAUUAUCGGCAUUAUCCCGACCAACAAUAACAGCAUAUGACUGCACUGAAUCCAUAAAAAAAAGCAUUUAUUUUCAAUCUUUGUCAGUUCCAUUCCCUGUCGUCGUCAUUCAGUAAAUUCAAAUAAAAUGCUAUACAUUUUGAUCGACUAUAUGGGCAGUGACUUGAGUGUUGUUGGUUAUUCCUGUGCCCAUCAGACUCCAUCCCACCUCUCAUAUUCAGUCGACGAAGAGAACACAGUCUAUCUCUUGUUUAACAGUUCUACCGAUAACUAUAACCCUAACCCUCAACCAAUCAGAACCAAUCAGAACCCAUUAUGAAGGGCUUAUAAGCCCUAUGGUUCUUUUUAGCCCUGUUAAGCUCAGGCGCAACUUUGAAAAUGCUUUGUAUUUUUUGUUUUUUAGCUAAAAAGUCGAACGUUUUUUGUAAAUCUAACAACCUUGUGUGAUGUUACAUCAAAUCAUGAUGUCAAAAGGGUGCAGCAGAUAGAGCUGUUUAUAGCGACCCCUGGAGUCCUGCCACGAUUGGUCUUCACUGGAGCUUGAUGUAGAGUUAGAAGUAGAGUAGAGUUAGAAGCCGAACAAUGUCAUGUGAGUUUUAAGUCAACUACCAUAACCUCCGGCCACUUAGUAGUGUCUCGACGCUGCAGCGGUGAGUGCUCUUGGAUGGCAGCGCUCGAGACCUCGAUCAUUCGGCUUGAGCGUUGUCAUGUGGUCUGAGUGACAAACAUCAUUCAGACCAUGAUUGAAUGAGUGACAGAGUGAAGUCUGAAGAUUAAUGUCAUAUGUAACCUAUCAAUGACAUCAAAUCAUGUAAAAGCCCUACUUUGGGUGGUCUCCACUACAAAGUGGAGACCACUACGUUAUUCAUACAGUGAAGUAUAAGUUAUUCAUACAGUCAAGUAUAACUUUCAACUAUACCCAGGCCUGUGACUCCGUGGUGCAGCGGAGAGAGCACACAACUCUAGGCCCUGGAGUUCAAGUCCUGUCAGUAUGUCUCCAUUGCAAAAAUUAUAAGGGAAGGGGGGGGGACUUUACUUUCAUCACUAUGAAAUAGUGUGUACAAUAAUGUGUCCAACUAAAAAUUAGCAAGUGGCCUUUGGUUAAUAACGACUCGGUGGGUUCACUGAAUGUUCUCUGUGUUCAGCAGAGGAUCAAUUUACACUUAAAGUUCGGGGGUUCACUGAAUAAAUAGCACAAUAGAGGCUUCGUCUACAUCUCAUCUUCAUAAUUCUUUUUUUUUUUUUUUCUGAGUAAGUUUGAAUUCUGAUCAUAGAAAAUUGAGAGAAAGGACUAGUGUUUGAAACGUAAACCAGGAAACAAGGAAAAUCCUUGCGAAAGAAAGCGAGUCCUGAAACACAAAUGUGGUCAGUCUCUUAUUUAUUUUUUCACAAUUUAGCAAACUUUGUAUGAAAAUAAAGCGUUCAAUUCUCCAACACACGCCAUAACCCUUUGGUGUAUAAGCUACAUAUAGUGUUUGUUAAACACACGUUGGAUUAAUUUCAUGAUUUCACUUUGUUCAGUGUACAAUGAUUUCAACAACAACUUCUUUCCUGAAUUUUCUGUAUUGUUAUUAAAAAUAAAUCCUUUUUCCUUGAA